CGAUAAUAGUAGUACUGGUUAAAUUAAGUAAAAAGUAUUAACCCAUCUAAAAAAAGCCUAACAUUAUUCUUAUGGUAAUAGGUUUGGUAUAUAAAAAUAAUGUAUAUGCAUAUUCUUUUAAAAUCUUUUUUAAUUAUUAAAAUAAAUUAAAUAUAUUGUAAAUGAAGGAGCCGUAUGUGUCUAAGAUGAGAGUUGCGGAGAUAAGAAUGUUAAGGUGGAUAAAUGGUCAUACUAGAUUAAAUAGAGUCCGUAAUGAGAGUAUUAGAG
rnacentral:misc_RNA from 1 species